rnacentral:rRNA from 1 species
AACGAACGCUGGCGGCAGGCCUAACACAUGCAAGUCGAGCGGGACCUUCGGGUCUAGCGGCGGACGGGUUAGUAACGCGUGGGAACGUGCCCAAAGGUACGGAAUAGCCUCGGGAAACUGAGAGUAAUACCGUAUGUGCCCCUCGGGGGAAAGAUUUAUUCGCCUUUGGAUCGGCCCGCGUUGGAUUAGGUAGUUGGUGGGGUAAUGGCCUACCAAGCCGACGAUCCAUAGCUGGUUUGAGAGGAUGAUCAGCAACACUGGGACUGAGACACGGCCCAGACUCCUACGGGAGGCAGCAGUGGGGAAUCUUAGACAAUGGGGGAAACCCUGAUCUAGCCAUGCCGCGUGAGCGAUGAAGGCCUUAGGGUUGUAAAGCUCUUUCAGAUGGGAAGAUAAUGACGGUACCAUCAGAAGAAGCCCCGGNUAACUCCGUG